rnacentral:rRNA from 1 species
AGUGAACGCUGGCGGUAGGCCUAACACAUGCAAGUCGAACGGCAGCACAGUAAGAGCUUGCUCUUACGGGUGGCGAGUGGCGGACGGGUGAGGAAUACAUCGGAAUCUACUUUUUCGUGGGGGAUAACGUAGGGAAACUUACGCUAAUACCGCAUACGACCUACGGGUGAAAGCAGGGGAUCUUCGGACCUUGCGCGAUUGAAUGAGCCGAUGUCGGAUUAGCUAGUUGGCGGGGUAAAGGCCCCCAAGGCGACGAUCCGUAGCUGGUCUGAGAGGAUGAUCAGCCACACUGGAACUGAGACACGGUCCAGACUCCUACGGGAGGCAGCAGUGGGGAAUAUUGGACAAUGGGCGCAAGCCUGAUCCAGCCAUACCGCGUGGGUGAAGAAGGCCUUCGGGUUGUAAAGCCCUUUUGUUGGGAAAGAAAAGCAGCAGGUUAAUACCCCGCUGUUCUGACGGUACCCAAAGAAUAAGCACCGGCUAACUUCGUG